rnacentral:lncRNA from 1 species
ACAAUAUUCUUCCUACUCCUGUAUUUCCAUCUGACCAUUGGUACAAUUAUGAAGCUAUUAGAACUUCUAUUCAAAAGAAGGAUUUUAUUUGAAGCCAUGCACUUGUGAAAGGAAAAUAACUUGGGCCCCCAAACUCACGAAGCUAAAGGGAAAAUUCAUGUGGGGAACUGCUUAGGGCAAACCUGCCUCCCAUUCUAUUCAAAGUCACCCCUCUGCUCACUGAGAUAAAUGCAUAUCUGAUUGCCUUCUUUAGAAAGGCUCAUCAGAAACUCAAAAGAAUGCAACCAAUUGUCUCUCACCUAUCUGUGACUUGGAAGCCCCCUUCCCGCUUUGAGUCUUUCUGCCUUUGCUUGGAGUUGUCCCACCUUUCUAGACUGAAUCAAUGUAUUUCUUACAAAUAUUGAUUGAUGUUCUCAUGACUCCCUAAAAUGUAUAAAACCAAGCUGUGCCUCGACCACCUUGUGCACAUGUCAUCAGGAUCUCCUGAGGCUGUGUCACAGGCGCAUCCUCAACUUUGGCAAAAUAAACUUUCUAAAUUAACUGACAUCUGUCUCAGAUUUUCUGGGUCCACACACUGGACAAAACAGAAGUGAACAAAAUAGCCGAAGUUCCCAAUUGUGUUCCUAUGGUGGGAGUAGGGCAGCAAUGGAGACGGAAAGCAAACAAGUAAAUGAAGAAAGAAAAUAUCACUGAGAUGUGCUAAGGGGAGAAUUGAAAGAGGGUGAUGAGGUUGAGUAUAAGGAGCUACUUCAGAUAGGUGGUGUAGCAACCCUGGUUCCAGGAAGAAAAACAGAGGCAAGUCAAGUAUUCCAGGAAUAUUGGGUGGUGUGAAUGUGGGAGGAGUUGGAGAGUGAAGGCCUGAAAAGCUUCAGCUCUAGAAUCAGAGAAACUCUCUGCACUUUCACCUGGAAAAGCUGGAACUCAAAGCGAAGUUCAAGAAGUAGCACAAUACUAGCUCUUUGAGUUGGAUUGUGAAGUGUGUCCGUGAGAGUGGCCUUGUCUUACACUCACGACCUCCCAAUAAUAGUGACUUCUGCCUUCCAUAUCUUGCUUGAACUCCUGUCCUUGGCAAACCCUAAUCUAGAAGCAUACAGAAAAGGGGACUCUGGGAAACAUAGUUCUCAUCCUCAGAUGGGCCUUGUGGCUUGGUGCUGAGCUGAUAGCUGACAAUUUAACACUGAUGAUCAGAAUGACAUUUAAGCUGAGGUCUAAAUAACAAGAAGGGGUCAGCUUUCCAAAGAUCACAGGGAGGAACAUUCCAGACAGAGAGAGUAACCAGCACAAAGUCCCUGAAGCUAGAAAGAGCAUCUUGAGUUCUCCAGAAACAUCAAGAAGGCCAGUAUGCGUGGAGCUGAGUGCAUGAGAGGAAGACUGAUGGGAGAUGCUGUUGGAGAGGUAAGCAGAGGCUGAGUCAUACGGGGUCCUAUAAGAUCUAGUAGGUCCAUUAGGGAUUUAUGUGCCUGACUGGCUUGUGUCUGUGUCUGAGCCCCGUGGAUAAGGUGUUUGUGGACAGAAAGCUCACUGAGCUGUUUAGAAAGAGGGGCUUGGUGAGAUUUAGGGACCCAGACUUUUCUGCCUCAGGCAGUAGACAGUGCUAUGAAGCAGAGAGGGGCACUCACCUUAUACUCCCCAGAACACAACAGAGUUUUGCAGCAUGGAGAGGUUAGGGGACACAGUGCUGCCCUGGAGCCUGGAGGAAAGGACAUUUGGGAGCAUCCAGAGACAUUUACCCUGGGAAGGAUGUCCACUCUUGUCCAGUGGUGAAGAGCCACAGUGUAAGAAUAGAGGUGCUCUAGUAGGUUUGAGUUGUCAACUGACAGAUGAAUUCAGGAACAGAUGUGAGACCCUCAUCCUGCAGCCAGAAAUAACAGGAUGAACAAUAGAACAGACUUGGAGAGGGGACAUGAAGGUGAAAUAUGAGUCAGUAAAUGUUAAGGUGAUCCUAUUUCCCUUGAAGCCUGGGUGAAAACCAUGUGGAACCUCAGAUUGCAUUGGCUAGGCCCUUGCUUGAAUGCAUUCAGAAAGUUAAGGGAUAUUCAUUUUCUUUGGGGAAUCCAUACAGUUAGUGAUUUCAUUCCCAAUGUACAUACAUGCUUUACUGAAAUGACUAGGUUGCUUGGAAUUUUUUAUCAGGCAUACUUUCAAACCCAAAAGCUAUAAUUUUAGGCAUUUCAGGUCUCCCAACAAAAGUACUGGCCAAGGUUGAUCAAAUACAGGUUGGUCUAUGCCCUGUGGUGACAUUUGUGGGAUAACAAGAUGAUUCUAAUGUCCCUUGAACAUGUCUCCUUCGCAUUGUCUGAAUGCCAUGAUGGAGAGUUGGUUGGCCUGUUAGUGUGACUGAACCAAGUGCCCGCAGUGAUAGCUGCUCUGGAUGCUCCCUAAGUUAAUUUCUUUACAUUUUGAUCUCACUUCCACAGUUCCCUGCAGGUGCUUCUUGAGAUCACCUCCCAAAUAAAUUACUUGCACAG